rnacentral:rRNA from 1 species
CUACGGGGCGCAGCAGUGGGGAAUAUUGGGCAAUGGGCGAAAGCCUGACCCAGCAACGCCGCGUGAGGGAAGAAGGUUUUCGGAUUGUAAACCUCUGCCCUUGGUGACGAACACAAUGACGGUAGCCAAGGAGGAAGCCCCGGCUAACUACGUGCCAGCAGCCGCGGUAAUACGUAGGGGGCAAGCGUUGUCCGGAUUGACUGGGCGUAAAGGGCGUGUAGGCGGCCGAUUAAGUCUGGAGUGAAAGUCCUGCUUUCAAGGUGGGAAUUGCUUUGGAUACUGGUUGGCUUGAGUGCGGAAGAGGUAAGUGGAAUUCCCAGUGUAGCGGUGAAAUGCGUAGAGAUUGGGAGGAACACCAGUGGCGAAGGCGACUUACUGGGCCGUAACUGACGCUGAGGCGCGAAAGCGUGGGGAGCGAACAGGAUUAGAUACCCUUGUAGUC